rnacentral:misc_RNA from 1 species
GAACACAUCUUGUGCUCCUUGGUAUUCUGAGGAGCAUGCCUGUUUGAGUGUCAUUAAAUUCUCAACUACACUGACUUUGAAUUGGUGUGGCUUGGAUUUGGGGGGGAAAAUUGUUGUGGGCUUUUUGUAUAGUCUGCUCCCCUGAAAUUGAUUAGCGGUACCAUUGUGGAACUGUCUACAGGUGUGAUAAUUAUCUACAUCCUAGACAUCUGCUGGAAUGCUGCUUUCUAAACCUUACUUGUAUUGACAAUCUUGACCUCAAAUCAGGUAGGACUACCCGCUGAACUUAAG